CUGGGUGUAAAAGGUCCCCGGGUCUCUGGUCCCGACGGAGCUGUGAGGGAGAUCAACCACGUCCCCUCCGUGGGCACCGUGGCGGCAGGGAGGGAAAAGGGCUCUGGGUCUCGACUCUCUUCGGGUUAAGAACCGACGGGGUUUAUUCUAUGCAAGGUGUUAUUAACUCCAACUCUCCCUUUCGUUCAUUCAUUCCAUAUAUGUUGAACGACAACUUAGUGCCAAAUGCCGGCAUGCUGAAACUUAAAGAAGAAGAUGUCUUGCAAGCACAGCAGCCACACCCAGGCAGGUCCCGUGCUCUCUCUUAGUUUAUCGGUGUUCCCUGACAUGUAGUGGUGACAUUGUUAAACACCUGCGUUUACUAAUACUAGAUUUUUUUUUUUUUUUUGAGAUAGAGUUUCGCUCUUGUUCCCUAGGCUGGAGUGCAGUGGCACCAUCUCGGCUCACCGCAACCUCCGCCUCCCAAGUUCAAGCGAUUCUCCUGCCUCAGCCUCCCCAGUAUCUGGGAUUACAGUAAAAUUAAAACAGGCACAAUGAUAUCCUGGAUGACAAGAGCUGGAGGCUGUCAUUCUAACAAUGUAGUGGGACUGGCUGUCUUGUCUCAUGCCCACCCCUGGAAACAUGCGCAGGAACUCAAGCACCUAGCACAGAGGAAGUGUCUGGUGAGAAAACUGAGGCUCUGAGUGAGAUGGGAACAAAGGAUGGACAUAAUCUACCAUUAGAUGCUCAAUAUGGUUAUUAUUUAUCUUGCAGCCCAUAAAGAUAAUGCGAUCCGUAUUUAUUAAUCUAGGAAGAUGUCUGUUAAGUGAGGGCUAAGCUAUACAAUAAUAUGAACAGUAUGAUCCCAUUUUGCUUAUCAAAAGGCAUCACUAAAAUGUUAUCAUUAAAUGAUCAUCUCUGAUUAGUGGGAUUACGGGUGACUUUCGUUUUUCCCCUUUUACUUUUUUUAGUAUUUGAUAAUUUUCCUCCAGUGGGCUUAUGAGCCUGUGUUAUUUGUGUAAUUAAAAUUACAUUUUGAAGAUUUAAAAAAUUGUAAGAACGCUGUCCCUGUGAAUGUUUAAUUUAGAUUUUCUCUGCAGGUUGUUUUAAAGGAAAAACAAAACCAAAAAAAGCACCUCCUGCUCUGACCACCCCUAUUUCCAGUUUUCCCUUUUGGCACAGCAAAGAUGAUCUUGGGACUGAGGUGGAACCAUGUAAUUCUUCAUAAUCCCAGAGUCAGGCAGACCUGGGUAUGAAUUCCAUCUUUACUAACUGCGUGACUCACUGUGUGGCCACGCCAAGUUACGAGGUCUCUCUGUUUCCUCCUUCCUAAAAAGGAGAUAACAUCCAUCUCAAAGGAAGAUCUGGCCUGAAGAGCAGUCACUCUUGCCUGGCAUGCAGAGAAUGCCAAAUCAUAUCAAUGACUGGCCAGAAUGAAGUGCAUGACCUCAUCACUCCAUAAGUGACAGGAAACAACUGCUAGGGCAAGAAAAAAGGGUCUCCAGUGAGUGUUCUUGUCCACACACAUCCCCACUCAUGUUCCUGGACCACUGCAUCUAGCUGCUGCAGCAGCUAAUGAACCUUCUGGAAUAAAGGACCAGUUUCUUAAGAAGGGAUUGAGACCUCCAGUGGCCUGCCACAUUGUUUCUGGCAAGAAUUUAAAAAUUAUUUGUAACAUAUAGUAAUAAAAACUAACCACAGGCUGGGCACAGUGGCUCACGCCUGUAAUCCCAGCACUUUGGGAGGCUGAGGCAGGUGGAUCACCUGAGGUCAGGAGUUCGAGACCAGCCUGGCCAAUAUGGUGAAACCCCGUUUCUCCUAAAAAUACAAAAAUUAGCUGGGCAUGGUGGUGGGUGCCUGUAAUCCCAGCUACUCAGGAGGCUGAAACAGGAGAACUGCUCGAAUCUGGGAGGUAGAUGUUGCAGUGAGCCGAUAUCGCGCCAUUGCACUCCAGCCCGGGCAAUGACUCCGUCUCAAAAAAAAAAAAAAAAAAAAAAAAAAACUAACCACAGCUACUAUUUAUGAACCCUA